rnacentral:antisense_RNA from 1 species
CCGGGUCUGCGCAGCCACGAGUCCCGGACGUCUCGGCCCCGGGAAUAAAUAAAGACGUAAACCAACCUGGCUUUCUCCGGAGAAAUGAGGGUGAUGAACAUAAGACACAAAUAGAGCCAAGAUCGACUUUCUUAGGAAGGGGGAGAGGAGGGAACUCUUCACGAAGGAAGGUGGGAGUCCACCUCAGACCUCUAUUGGAAGGAAAUCGAGUUGUUCCGGGGGACUGAGGUCUCUUGCAUAAGGCAUGGGAUCCUUAUUAUUAUUAUUUUUAAAAUCCCCCGCGGAGGAGCUCUUGGCAAAUGAAUAUCGAGGCGCCGCUCUAGCUGGUUAGGCUUGGGAUGCGAUAACUCAGUGCCCUCUUGCAGACUUGCAUAGAAAUAAUUACUGGGUUGUCGUGGAGGGGACACGAGACAGAGGGAGUUCUCCGUAAUGUGCCUUGCUGAGAGAAAGGUCCAAGAAUGCAAUUCGUCCCAGAGUGGCCCUGCAGGGGCGGGGUGCGAGUGGGUGGUAGAGUAGGGGUGGGAGUGGAGAGAGAUGAUUUCUGUAGAGAAUAAUUAUUGCACAAGGGCCCGCCGAGGCACGAGGCACUCUAUUUUGUUUUGUAAUCACGACGACUAUUAUUUUUAGUCUGAUCAAUGGUCACAAUUUCUAGGCAGCGCAGUGGUGGAUGCGCGCAAACUUUUGCGCACCGCUGGAAACCCACUAGGUUGAGUUGCAAAACGUACCGCGUAGACGCCCCUGGUGGCGCCGAGAGAAGAGCUAGGCCGGCCCAGCACAGAGCCGGAGAGCGUCGGGCCUUCCGGAAGGUUCGACGAGAUGAGUUCCUACUUGACCUCUGAGCCGAGGUGGGCCGGAAACCGAGGCCUAGGCCCCGCCGGGGCUGCAAGGAAAAGGCGAAACUCCGAGCGUAGCGUCUUUUCCGUGUCGUUCCUUUCUCUGGCAUCCCGGACCGCGGG